rnacentral:rRNA from 1 species
UACGGAGGGUGCUAACGUUGUUCGGAAUCACUGGGCUUAAAGGGCGCGUAGGCGGUCCGACAAGUCAGGGGUGAAAUCCUGCAGCUUAACUGUAGAAGUGCCUCUGAUACUGUCGGUCUUGAGGGAGAUAGGGGUGCGCGGAACUUCCAGUGGAGCGGUGAAAUGCGUUGAUAUUGGGAGGAACACCAGUGGCGAAGGCGGCUCACUGGACCGGUACUGACGCUGAUGCGCGAAAGCGUGGGGAGCAAACAGG